GCAUGGUCUGGUGGUGGAAAGAUUUUUUGGUUGGGGAUGGACUCGCGGCCUAUCAGCUUGUUGGUGAGGUAAUGGCUCACCAAGGCGACGACGGGUAGCCGGCCUGAGAGGGUGACCGGCCACACUGGGACUGAGACACGGCCCAGACUCCUACGGGAGGCAGCAGUGGGGAAUAUUGCACAAUGGGCGAAAGCCUGAUGCAGCAACGCCGCGUGAGGGAUGACGGCCUUCGGGUUGUAAACCUCUUUUAGUAGGGAAGAAGCGAAAGUGACGGUACCUGCAGAAAAAGCACCGGCUAACUACGUGCCAGCAGCCGCGGUAAUACGUAGGGUGCAAGCGUUGUCCGGAAUUAUUGGGCGUAAAGAGCUCGUAGGCGGUUUGUCGCGUCUGCUGUGAAAUCCCGAGGCUCAACCUCGGGCUUGCAGUGGGUACGGGCAGACUAGAGUGCGGUAGGGGAGAUUGGAAUUCCUGGUGUAGCGGUGGAAUGCGCAGAUAUCAGGAGGAACACCGAUGGCGAAGGCAGAUCUCUGGGCCGUAACUGACGCUGAGGAGCGAAAGCGUGGGGAGCGAACAGGAUUAGAUACCCUGGUAGUCCACGCCGUAAACGUUGGGCGCUAGAUGUAGGGACCUUUCCACGGUUUCUGUGUCGUAGCU
rnacentral:rRNA from 1 species